rnacentral:rRNA from 1 species
GUCUAACGAUAAGCAAUUAUACGGCGAAACUGCGAAUGGCUCAUUAAAUCAGUUAUCCGUUUAUUUGAUAGUACCUUACUACUUGGAUAACCGUGGUAUUCUAGAGCUAAUACAUGCUAAAAACCCCAACUCACGAAGGGGUGUAUUUAUUAGAUUAAAAACCAAUGCCCUUCGGGGCUCUCUGGUGAUUCAUAAUAACUUCUCGAAUCGCAUGGCCUUGCGCCGGCGAUGGUUCAUUCAAAUUUCUGCCCUAUCAACUUUCGAUGGCAAGGUCUUGGCUUGCCAUGGUUACAACGGGUAACGGAGGGUUAGGGCUCGACCCCGGAGAAGGAGCCUGAGAAACGGCUACUACAUCCAAGGAAGGCAGCAGGCGCGCAAAUUACCCAAUCCCGAUACGGGGAGGUAGUGACAAUAAAUACUGAUACAGGGCUCUUUUGGGUCUUGUAAUUGGAAUGAGUACAAUUUAAAUCCCUUAACGAGGAACAAUUGGAGGGCAAGUCUGGUGCCAGCAGCCGCGGUAAUUCCAGCUCCAAUAGCGUAUAUUAAAGUUGUUGCAGUUAAAAAGCUCGUAGUUGAACCUUGGGUUUGGCUGGCCGGUCCGCCUCACCGCGUGCACUGGUUCGGCCGAACCUUUCCCUCUGGGGAACCCCAUGCCCUUCACUGGGUGUGGUGGGGAACCAGGACUUUUACUGUGAAAAAAUUAGAGUGUUCAAAGCAGGCCUAUGCUCGAAUACAUCAGCAUGGAAUAAUAGAAUAGGACGUGCGGUUCUAUUUUGUUGGUUUCUAGGACCGCCGUAAUGAUUAAUAGGGACAGUCGGGGGCAUCAGUAUUCAAUUGUCAGAGGUGAAAUUCUUGGAUUUAUUGAAGACUAACUACUGCGAAAGCAUUUGCCAAGGAUGUUUUCAUUAAUCAGGAACGAAAGUUAGGGGAUCGAAGACGAUUUGAUCAGUGUAUUUGGUCGUCAACAGUGCAAAAUAGUCCGCCGCGGUUGUCCCUUAGGGGAUAGCCACCGGGGGCGACACCGUCAAAUUGCGGGGACCUCCUUAGAGCCCUUACCACACCUAUCCGCUAGAAAUGGCGGUUAGUCGUAAUAGUGUAAGGGAUUGGACAAUCCGCAGCCAAGUCCGCAAGCCCUGCAACGGGUGAGGAUGCAGUUCACAGACUAGAUGUCGGUGGGAGUUCUACAGCGCGUAGGCCCUCUUAAAAUAUAGUCGAUACGCCCCUGAAAAGCGGCGAGAAAAUGCAGAUACCGUCGUAGUCUUAACCAUAAACUAUGCCGACUAGGGAUCGGACGAUGUUAUUUUUUGACUCGUUCGGCACCUUACGAGAAAUCAAAGUCUUUGGGUUCUGGGGGAAGU